GCUUCAUUGGUCCAAUGGUUAGGAUUCCACCCUUCCAAUCACCGUAAAACGGUUGAAAGCUAGGUGGAGGUUCGUGUUCGAUUCACGGAUGUUGCA